AAAAAAUCACGAAACAUAACUCCCGUGAUUAUUCAAAACGCCAAGAACCAAAGAUUGACCUUCCUUCGGAGGGGCAGACGAAUUCUUUAUUCUCCCUACUGUACUGCUGACGACAUAAAGAGAGGGCACGGUUUACUGAAACCACUGACUCUAUCCAGCAGGCCCAGAUGAUGACAUUUGAUACACAGAUUAAAUUUGCUGGCAGGUUUAGAAUUGUCUUGAACUGAUACUGGUCCAAGAGACGUACAUGUACCAGUCAUUUUCCCGGUAAAGAAAUAAAUUAAAAAGAUUCAAAACAUCGACCACUUUGAUCAAGUGACUGUUUCUAUUAAGUUUGGAUGUUCAUUGAAUAAUCUAUUAACAUAAUUUAUCCCUAUUUUAUUUAUAAGUUAUUGUUUAAAUAACAGAAAUUUAAGAUUUUUACGGUACAUAUAAAACAAAUGCUGAAUGGCAUGGAUUUUGUAUGUAUCAAACAGACAAUAGGAAGUUACUAUGUUACACUGCUAGAAUUCCAAACGUAUUUUACUCUAACGAGGUUUUGAAUUUUAAUUGAACUUGCAUGUAUUUUUUAUUUUUUUGGUUUGAAUCGUGUGAAAAUGUGAUAAAAUAUAUGUAGAUUUAUGUAAGAGAGAAGAGAAUGCUAACAAAUUAAAAAGGACUAGAUAAAUAUGUUCUAUUUAUCAGUUUAAUCCAUACAGAAAAAAAGAUAUAUCUUCUAAUGUAUGCAUUGUGUAUUUUGGAUUGCAUCAAUUAAAUCACUUCUACGUAUCAAAUUUGUAGAAUAUGAAAUAAACAAUACAUUAUUUUCGAUAAGUCUUCAAGUUUACCACUUUAAUUAAUUCAAGAUAAUACACAAAUUAACAAAAAUAUCAAUUCGUUGAAUAAUUCAGCCGCGCGAAAAACAACCCGAUUAAUUUCUGAUCCGAAAA